GGGAGCUUGCCGAAGGGUUUUUCGGAAGCUCGCCGGAAGGUUCGUUGGAAGUUCGCGGAGCUCACCGAGAAAGAUCGGAGUUUGCCGAAGAAGCUCGUUGGAACUCGUCAAGAUCAAAUCAUGAAGUCUAGGAGCUUGUCGGGAGUCCGUAGAAUGGUUUCCGAGAGUUUAUCGGAAAACCAUCGGAAGUUCGUCGGAAGCUCGCCGGAAGAAGUCUUGACUUAUGGACUUUGUAAUAGCUUAGAAAAUGUCUUUAAAUUCGUAGUUAGCACGUUACUUAGGGUUAGGAUUAGGUGUUAAUCCUAUAAACCAAGUAGGGGCCAAUUGGGCUCUAGUUCGGACUGGUUUGGGCCAAUUUUGGAGCCCAACCAGUGAGUUGAAAAAGUGUAGGCGGUGGCACCGCCUAGCACCCGAGAGCCAGGCGGUGGCACCGCCCAGCACCCGAGAGCUAGGCGGUGGCAUCGCUUGGCUGGGCGGUGGUACCGCCAGCAUCGGGAACCAAAGAGAAUUCAAAUUUUGGAGCCCAAAUUUGAAACCUCUUGAGGCCUAUAAAUACCCCUCAAAUCUCAGCUGAGAUGACAACCUUUUGAAAAGCAAUAGUUUGAGUUAAGAGCCUUAGAAUAGUCUUUGCAAGCCUUGUUUUUCAUAUUGCUUAAGUGUUCACCUCCUCCCAUCUUGUUGAAAAGAAUUGUAAGAGUGUGAUCCACUUGUAAAGGUUGUAAGAGGGGUAUUAGUCCUUCCCCUACAAAAAAUUUACUAGUGGAAGUUGGAAGCCUCUUCGAAGAAGGCUUCGCAAGUGGAUGUAGGUCAUUUUGACCGAUAUAUGGCACACACUAGACAAUUAAGGUAGGAGGAAUUGACGUUGCGCCGGAGGAGAUCACGUUAGGAUAUUGGAUGGCAGAAGGCUUCGGACGUCGGGCAUCGGGCCAAGAACGAAAUUGCGCCAAGGAUAUCGGCGUUGCGGAGGUCAACCGCUGAUUGGGCAAUAAGCCGCAAGAGAGGAUGAUGCGCCAAAGAAUCGAACGAAGCACCAACCAAUGACGUGCCAGGCAACAUAAUGUCAAUUCGCUUUAUAAUAAUUGUCUAGAUCAGAGUAGAGUUUUUGCUUGUGUGUGCAGGAUUAACUACGAUAACGACGAAGACAUAAAGCAAAAUAAAGUAUCGAAGUCAAGCACGAAGGAUUCAUUGCGAGUUCGAGAGUUCGACGGAAGUCCGAAGGUUCGUCGGGAAUGCUGCCGGAACUAGCCGAGAAUGAGUAGGGAGCUUGCCGAAGGGUUUUUCGGAAGCUCGCCGGAAGGUUCGUUGGAAGUUCGCGGAGCUCACCGAGAAAGAUCGGAGCUUACCAAAGAAGCUCGUUGGAACUCGCCAAGAUCAAAUCGUGAAGUCUAGGAGCUUGGCGGGAGUCCGCAGAAUGGUUUCCGAGAGUUUAUCGGAAGACCGUCGGAAGUUCGCCGGAAGCUCGCCGAAAGAAGUCUUGACUUACGGACUUUGUAAUAGCUUAGAAAAUGUCUUUAAAUUCGU
rnacentral:lncRNA from 1 species